rnacentral:lncRNA from 1 species
GCCGUACUCCAUUUGCUUUCAUUUUCCUUCUCCCCCUGAAAUGGGCUCAUUUCACCUCUCCACUGCCCUCUUCCCCUCCCCGCCCCCUCCCUGGUUCCCCUCUACUUUCCCCCCUUCUCUCUCCUGAUCCCUCUUUGUUGGGAAAAACACACCCACACACAACUCCUCCUAGCUAAGGCCUGCGCUGGAAGCAGAAACUGAGUUCUCUUGGCCUGCCGCGAGGAAACCCGCGUCCUGCCCCCACCCAAGGAAAUUUGCAGUGACUUUGGAGCCCAGACUGAGGAAGCGGAGGUGGCGAAAGGAGAGACAAUACGAGCCCGAAGUACAAUUAAGGGGCCAGAGCCGCUCGUCUCUCCCCCGCCCUCCCUGCCCGACUGCGAGCUGUCUGGCCUCAAACCUCAGGGCGACACGCGAACCUGGAGCCGGAAACUCAGCCCGUGGCAGAGGGAGUCAGAGGACUCUGCAUCCAGAAAACAGAAGCAAAGCGCCCUUCCAACUUGGGGACGCCUUAACCAGCCCCUCUCAGUUGCAGAUAACCCAAUGAAUGAAAGUGCAAAUUCCGCCGUUUUUCCCGAUUUUUUUUCCAGCCUUGGGAAGGAGAGCUCAGGGUUUGGGGCGUCUCAGACAGAAAGGCAAACCGCAUCUCCUGAGGCAGACAGACCCACAACAUGAGUGUGAGCCUGAGAUCACAUACAGGUUCAACAUUUCCCGAGGCCUCUUUGCCAGGCCCGGCGGGCGCCGAUCUCCCUACCUUCUCUCCCUCCAGGGCCUCAGGCAGAGAGACCCAGAAGACUCUGUCCCUCUGGUUUGGUCCAAUCCCGCUUCGGAAGCGCCUUCGUUACCUGGUCCUUCGCUCCCCACGGCCAUAGAUACAGGACAGGCGGCUCCCGCCUGGGGAGGGAAGCCCCGGCCACCACGGCCGCCGCCGCCCGCCCUCCUUCCCUCCCUCCCUCCUUCUCGCCCUCCCUCUCUCUCCCUCCCUCGCGCGCUGCCGCUCGCGGGGCCCUCCCGCGGGCAACCUGGUCUGGACCAAAUCCAGGUAUAUCCGAAAGAGAGAAAAAAGAAAGGACCUUUUACGCGGAAAAGAAAAGACAGAAAGA